GAGUUUGAUCCUGGCUCAGAUUGAACGCUGGCGGCAUGCCUUACACAUGCAAGUCGAACGGCAGCACGGGAGCUUGCUCCUGGUGGCGAGUGGCGAACGGGUGAGUAAUGCAUCGGAACGUAUCCUGGAGUGGGGGAUAACGUAGCGAAAGUUACGCUAAUACCGCAUAUUCUGUGAGCAGGAAAGCGGGGGACCUUCGGGCCUCGCGCUCUUGGAGCGGCCGAUGUCGGAUUAGCUAGUUGGUGAGGUAAAGGCUCACCAAGGCGACGAUCCGUAGCAGGUCUGAGAGGAUGAUCUGCCACACUGGAACUGAGACACGGUCCAGACUCCUACAGGAGGCAGCAGUGGGGAAUUUUGGACAAUGGGGGCAACCCUGAUCCAGCCAUGCCGCGUGAGUGAAGAAGGCCUCGGUU
rnacentral:rRNA from 1 species